CAGUAGCCGCGGUAAUACGAAGGGGGCUAGCGUUGUUCGGAGUUACUGGGCGUAAAGCGCACGUAGGCGGAUAUUUAAGUCAGGGGUGAAAUCCCAGAGCUCAACUCUGGAACUGCCUUUGAUACUGGGUAUCUUGAGUAUGGAAGAGGUGAGUGGAAUUCCGAGUGUAGAGGUGAAAUUCGUAGAUAUUCGGAGGAACACCAGUGGCGAAGGCGGCUCACUGGUCCAUUACUGACGCUGAGGUGCGAAAGCGUGGGGAGCAAACAGGAUUAGAUACCCGCGUAGUCCCUGUCUCUUAUAC
rnacentral:rRNA from 1 species